rnacentral:misc_RNA from 1 species
GCGAAAUGCGAUAAGUAAUGUGAAUUGCAGAAUUCAGUAAAUCAUCGAAUCUUUGAACGCACCUUGCGCUCCUUGGUAUUCCUUGGAGCAUGCCUGUUUGAGUAUCAUGAAAUCUUCAAAGUAAAUCUUUUGUUAACUCAAUUGGUUUCUACUUUGGUAUUGGAGGUCUUUGCAGCUUCACACCUGCUCCUCUUUGUUCAUUAGCUGGAUCUCAGUGUUAUGCUUGGUUCCACUCGGCGUGAUAAGUUAUCUAUCGCUGAGGACACUGUAAAAGGUGGCCAAGGUAAAUGCAGAUGAACCGCUUCUAAUAGUCCAUUGACUUGGACAAUACUUUUAUGAUCUGAUCUCAAAUCAGGUAGGACUACCCGCUGAACUUAA